rnacentral:rRNA from 1 species
CAUAGCGACUAUCGUGGCAUAUCAAUAAGCGGAGGAAAAGAAACUAACAAGGAUUCCCUAGUAACGGCGAGUGAAGCGGGAAGAGCUCAAAUUUGAAAUCUUCAAGGUUUUACCUUGACGAAUUGUAGUUUAAAGAAGUGUUUUCUGUUAGGAGUAGGUAAAAGUUCUUUGGAAUAGGACAUCAUAGAGGGUGAGAAUCCCGUAUUUGACUAUUCUUUCUAGCUGUGUGAUACACUUUCAAAGAGUCGGAUUGUUUGGGAAUGCAGUCCAAAAUGGGUGGUAAAUUUCAUCUAAAGCUAAAUACUAGGCGAGAGACCGAUAGCGAACAAGUACCGUGAGGGAAAGAUGAAAAGAACUUUGAAAAGAGAGUUAAACAGUACGUGAAAUUGUCAAAAGGGAAGCGUUUGACACCAGUGUUGUUUUCUCGAAAAUCAAUUAAAAAUGGCUGGAUUUUGUGUUGUAUUGACCUUAUAAGCUUUCUGCACUCUUUUCUUAUCUUUUUUAAUGCACUUUUCGUUUAACAAGUCAACAUCAGUUUCUUUUGUUGUAAAAGGGUCAUUGGAAGGUGGCUUUCUUUUCGGAGAAAGUGUUUAUAGCCUUUGAUCUCUGCAACCGGAGAGACUGAGGUCUGCAGCGUAGACUCUUCGGGGUUAGAUACAUUUGUGCUAAGCUAUAGCUUUUUAUAGACAACUUGUUGACUAUAUUUAGUCUUGUGGCUUACUCGCUUAUGCUAUUUUACCUACGCUUAGGAUGUUGACGAGACUGUCGAUCUC